GCUGGAAGCCAUUAUCUUCAGCAAAGUAACACAGGAGCAGAGGGGAAACAAGACAAGGACAGUUCCUGUAAACCUGUCUUUGGGCAUAGAGCUAGCAAGUAAAGGAGCCGCAGUUUGAAGCCUGGCUCAGGUAAAAGAUCUCCAGCCAGUGCUUCUCAAAUAACUUUAUUACAUACCAGAGCCACCAGGGGAGCCUGUGGAACUACAGAUUCUGAGUUAGAAAGUCUGGGGUGGAGCCCAAGACUCUUGCUUUCUGGACAAGCUCCAGGUGAUUUCUGAUGCUGCAAGUCUGGCUUUAGAUAACAGCUGCUAAGUUUGCCUGAGGAUGAAAGCUUGAGUAAACUCUGAAUACUGAUGUUACAGGACUCCAGCACUUUCUAACUAUAUACAUUUGAACAUAAGAGACAGAUUUUAUAGCUAAAAAGGUUUGGCUUUUUGUAUAUAUUUCUUAUUGAUACAAAUAUGUGUACAUGUAUAUGGGGGCACAAAUAUGAUACUCUAUCACAUGCUUACACUGUGUAAUGAUCAAAUUAGGGGUUUGGGGCAUCUAUCACCUCGAGUAUUCGUCAUUUCUGUGUGUUGGCAUUAUUCCAAGUCCUCUUUUCUAGCUAUUUUGAAAUCUACAAUACAUUGUUGUUAACUA
rnacentral:lncRNA from 1 species